UAUGUGAUCGUCUCUCGCAUAUCAAUAAGCGGAGGAAAAGAAACUAACAAGGAUUCCCCUAGUAACGGCGAGUGAAGCGGGAAGAGCUCAAAUUUGAAAUCUUAAAGGGUUUCCCUUUACGAAUUGUAGUUUAAAGAAGUGUUUUCUGUUGAGGUUUUGGUAAAAGUUCCUUUGGAAUAGGACAUCAUAGAGGGUGAGAAUCCCGUAUUUGACCUUUACUUUCAACUUUGUGAUACACUUUCAAAGAGUCGGAUUGUUUGGGAAUGCAGUCCAAAAUGGGUGGUAAAUUUCAUCUAAAGCUAAAUAUUGGCGAGAGACCGAUAGCGAACAAGUACCGUGAGGGAAAGAUGAAAAGAACUUUGAAAAGAGAGUUAAACAGUACGUGAAAUUGUCAAAAGGGAAGCGUUUGACACCAGUGUUGUUUUUCUGAAAAUCAAUUAAAGAACUGUUUAUGCUAAGUUGUUUAGACUUUAUCAGCUAACUGUUUAGUUUUGAGCUUUUCUUUAAUGCACUUUUCAGUUAACAAGUCAACAUCAAUUUCUUUUGCUGUAAAAAAGCUUGAGGAAGGUGGCUUGAGAUUCGUCUUAAGUGUUUAUAGCCUCUUGCCUAUGCAGUCGGAGAGAUUGAGGUCUGCAGCGUAGAUCCUUCGGGGCUAAAUGCAUUUGUGCUAAGUUAUAGCAUUUUAUAGACAACUUGUUGACUAUGAUUUGUCUUGUAGCUUACUCGCUUAUGUUAUUUUACCUACGCUUAGGAUGUUGACACACGCGCGUGCUCG
rnacentral:rRNA from 1 species